ensembl:misc_RNA Metazoa_SRP Metazoan signal recognition particle RNA
GCUGGGCAUGGUGGCGCAUGCCUGUAGUCCCAGCUACUUGGGAGGCUGAGGCAGGAGAAUUGCUUGAACCCAGGAGGCGGAAGUUGCAGUGAGCUGAGAUUGCACCACUGAACUCCAGCCUGGGCAAUAGAGCCAGAUUCUGUCUCAA